CGGGGGGCCACGGCGCGCGGCGUGGGCCGGGCCGGGGCAGAGCGAGAAGUUGGCGGCGGCGGCGGCGGCGGCGGCGGGGGGAGCGGCGGAGCGGCGGGAGCGCAGGUGGGCCCCGCCGCCCCCCCCCCCCGUCACCCUCCAGGAGCAGGUGAGCCACUGACUAACGCACAUUGUGCUCUCGGCGACUCCACUGUGCGUGUGACAGCGGCUAACCUGCUCCUCGGAUAUCGCUGUGUGGCCACCUCGCCUCCGCGGACCCGCGCCUCGACGCCACGACGCCUGCAUCCCCUUCCUGCCACCCAGCGGUUUCCCAUCCUUGGCCCGGCAGACCCCCUGACGUGCCCUGCAAUUAGCCGCGCUGCACGGCAGAGCGUGAAAAGAUUUAAUGCUUCUUGCGGCAAGGCUCGGUGCGUCUGGCGGGAGCGGAGAUGAGGGGAGCGGGCCGUGCCGGCACGUGGGCGCAAAGAGUCGGUGGUAAAGUUGCACAGGAGGGAUGGCGUGCCCCCCUCUCUCCUCCCCUGCUCUUCUCCAAAGUAAAUAAGUGCUAGUGGACUCCAUACCAAGUUAAAGGAGACGCUUCAUCCCAGCCGGUGACGUCUUGAUACCCAGUCAGUGACUAACUGAACUGCUAUUGCCAAGGGUGUGUUAAUAGAAGAAACUGUGCCUGGUAUUGCCCUGGAUGAGUCACCUUUAAAGAGAGACUCUAGUCUAGUCUGUUACAUGAAAAGCAGAAACGAGCCUUACUUUCCUUUUUCAUUGCCAUUUUGUUUCCCAUUCCACCCCUUGCCUUUGCUUGCCACUUUCCACUUCUUGCGCCGGGGUUCUGUCGGCCCCCCAGCCCUGGCUGGGCAUUGGCAGAGCUGCCUCGUGUGAUCGUGCUGCGAUGUCAUACAGGGGACUCUUGACUUCAUGGCCCCGAGGAGCAGGAAGGCGAGCUGGGCUGGGACUCCUCCAGCUGCCCAGGGUGGCCAUCGCUAGAAACAGAGGAAGUGACGAGGCAGAUUGCUUCUCAUACAAAGUUCUCUCUUGCAAUUUUUGGGCUGGUGAAGAAGCUGGGUAGUUGAAAAGUGUCUUUUUGGAAGCGCAGCACAGCUUUAUCAGCAGCUUAAGCUCAUAACAGCCAGCUAGGAUUCACCGCAGCCUGCCAAGGUUCCCCGAAAGGGCUCGGGUAUUCCCCUUCUUGCUUGAGCUGCUCACGUGUAGCCCUGGACCAUCAUAAAGGCUUGAACCGAAGGAAUCGGCAGUGCUCUGGUCAGUAAGUAUUUAACUGCACAGAAGGCAGAGCAACAUCCUCUGUACGGAUAAAGUCUCUCAGGGAGAAAUUUUGCCUGUACCCAUCUCUCCUGCCUGUGCUCAUUUGUCAUUUCUUCGUCUGGGUCCCAGAGGAGCAUCUGCUCUUCCACAAGAAAAAUCAGCUCCCUCUGUGCUCUGCGCAGACUGGGUGAGUCCAGGGUGCUCAAACAUGCUGGAAAGAGAGAAAAACCACCUGAAUUUACCAAAGCUGCUUUCACGCUUGUUCAGAAGAUAAAUGGGCCUUUUUUGAUGGGGGAGGGGGGCGGGACGGGACAAGUUUGCAGCUUUCUCAGCCCCAGAAGGCUUGCCUCCUCCCUAGCUACACCUACAGCAUCUUCCCAUGGCUGGUCCUGAGCAGGCAGGAGCACACCAUAGCCACAUGGAGAGCAGGGAGAGGGGGGAACCUGGUGCAAAAUAAACCCAUGUACAAGUGUGUCUGCGAGCUGAAACUGAAGCCCUGCAGUCCCCUACCACCCCAUUUCAUAGGUGACCACACAUGUAACAAACCUGUAUCUGAAAAUGAAGGUGCUCUGUUUCUCUUUGAAGAAAUAGCCCUGCAUUUGGGACUAUGCUGCCUGAUGACUAACCCCUGGAGAUGCCACUGGCAGAAGCAGCUCCGCAGGUCACCUGGCAAGACUUGUCCCAGUUCCCAUGAGCAGCACCGUGGUAUGAAUGCUUCCAACUUCCUGCUACCUACGGAACCAUCCUGUUCAGCUCCAGUCAGCAAAGGCAAGGGGUUGAAGUGAAGUUUGUUUAGUUUUGCUUUUUUUUUUUUUGUCUCUCCAGUAAGCGGAGUGGGGGAGAGCAUACAGCUCGAUUCCUGUUUUUAACAUUCUUGUUGCAUGAUUCAAAACUAACCUGCUGUGCUGUCACCUAAAGUCUUCAAUAAAUAGUGCAAAACCA